GUGCACUGGAUCGUGGAAGGGUUCAAGGCGCUUGAAGCGCGUCUCGCGGCGCAGACGUCGCCGGGCAAGUUCGUCGUUGGCGAUACGCC
rnacentral:tRNA from 1 species